rnacentral:tRNA from 1 species
AGUCUUGUAUUCAAAAUGAUAUAAAAUUGCAAAUUUUAAGGUAUAAAAUUAAUUAUUAAGGCUU